GACAAAAAGGGAAGAAGACAGUUUUUACUGCAGCUGGUAGAAAAGCACCGCUGUGACUGUCGAGACCCCAGGAAGUGCUCCUCUGCUGUCCCACAGAAAACCACUGCAAAGACAGUCAUCGAAACUAAAGUAACUACACUCUCAGUUAAACAAACGACAGAAAGUUUGAUUCCAGCUGAUGAAAAGAGAACAGGUUGGACUUCAACUACAAACUAUCAGGGAGGCUUGACCGUUACCGUGUUUCCUCCUGUUUCCACACUCAGUGUCACUGAGGACAAAUCAAAUACGACGACUUUACAGCAGUAAGAAUUUUU
rnacentral:lncRNA from 1 species